rfam:Stentor coeruleus isolate WM001 SteCoe_contig_73, whole genome shotgun sequence.
UAUCGCAGGGCUCAGUUCAUAACGAUUUAAUCUUUCGCCUUUUACUAAAGAUUACCGUGAACUGGGUCUUAGUUGCGAUUGAACCAUUUUUUGCAGCGGCUUUACGCCGC